rnacentral:rRNA from 1 species
AAUUUGAAAUCUGGCGUCCUUCGGGCGUCCGAGUUGUAAUCUAUAGAAACGUUUUCCGUGCCGGACCGUGUCCAAGUCCCUUGGAACAGGGUAUCAGAGAGGGUGACAAUCCCGUACUUGACACGACGACCGGUGCUCUGUGAUACGUUCUCUACGAGUCGAGUUGUUUGGGAAUGCAGCUCAAAAUGGGUGGUAAACUCCAUCUAAAGCUAAAUAUUGGUGGGAGACCGAUAGCGAACAAGUACCGUGAGGGAAAGAUGAAAAGCACUUUGGAAAGAGAGUUAAACAGUAUGUGAAAUUGUUGAAAGGGAAACGAUUGAAGUCAGUCGUGACCGUUGGGUUCAGCCGGUUCUGCCGGUCUACUCCCUUCGGUCGGGUCAACAUCGGUUUUGACCGGCGGAUAAGGAAGGGAGGAAUGUGGCACCCUCCGGGGUGUGUUAUAGCCUCUCGUCGCAUACGUCGGUCGAGACCGAGGAACGCAGCUCGCCUUUAUGGCCGGGGUUCGCCCACGUCCGAGCUUAGGAUGUUGACAUAAUGGCUUUAAACGACCCGUCUUGAAACACGGACCAA